AAAAAAAAGAGUGUUCUCAAGAUCUUCCAUGUCCUUGUGUCCAUGUGCCCACACACAUUCAGCCUUGGUCAUCCGAAGGUCAUAUAAAAUGCAUCAAUGCAGUAAAUAAUGAAGUUGAAAGAAAAUUAAAGGCUUUCUGAUCUAUGGAACUGCCACCCAUCAUGACAUCCCAUUUCACAACCAUCAGAACACACAGUCAUCCACGGCCGUUCAUUGCAAAUUUCAGUCAUAAUAGCACCUCUCUUAUUUACCAAUCGAGUUUGUCCAAUACCAACCCAAUGCAGUCCACUGAAUAAGGGUUUCCUUAGCAAUCUUACUGCACCAGCAGAUAAUCCAAUGCAAUUGAAAAGAUCAAGUUGCCGAAGUUGCUUAUUCCCAUAUUGGAGGCUUCUCUUUGUACCAAGUGCUUGCAAUGAAGAAUCAGUCACAUGAAAGCAAUACCUAAUACAUAAUUCAGUAAUCUCUCUGCCAGCGGCAACUAUUGUAAAAAUGCCAUUGUCUGAUAUUCUUGGCAUGUAACCUAAAUCAAGUGUUGCCAAUGUCUGUGCAAUUGCCCCACACAACAAAAGAUAAAUUCCUUUGUCGGUUACUCUCUUACAGCCUCUAAGACACAAAUGUGAGAUAGGUGGACUACCGUGACCAAGAAUGGAUAAACCAUCAUCUGUAAUAUCAGCUCCAGUAAGAUUCAAAGAUGUUAACCUUCUAAGACAUGAAAUGGAGCUGACGCAAGAAUCGGCUAUGCUCUUGCAGCCACACAGAUCUAGCACCUCCAAGCUCCUAGAAGAGCCCAGUUUCUUCACAGUUUCACUGGUUAUCAAGUUGCAAGACAGUAAUCUCACCUCAACAAGGGAACAUGAGACUCCAGUUAGAUUGUGAAAGGCCAAGUCUGACAGAAAUAAGGCAUUACGAACUUCAAAUUUCUUUAACUUCUGGCAGGAAUGUAGCAAUGAUGCAAUGCCAGCAUCACUAACUCUAGAGAAACCACAAAGCCUCACUGACUGCAAAUCUUUGCAACUCUCAGAAAGCAGAAACAUGCCCACAUCAUUUAUUUGUUUAAAUGAUCCAUGGUAGUUCUUUCUACUGCGUAUAAGAGAGAGUCCAGUCAAAUGAUAGCAAGAGCCCAACAACUGCAGCCCGCUAUUGGUCAAGUCAAGGUGCGGAGAUGGUUCCUUGUUUGGCCUAUCUUCAAGAUCCAGCUCUACCAGAAGAGGAAACGAGCUGGUGAUAGUCAUAAGCAGCCUGUCAGAUAUAACAUCUAAGACAAGCGACAAACUUUGUAAUGCAAAACCAUAUGAUGCUAGAGAGUCAGGGAAGCUGAAAUCUUCUGUUGCAGAAAACUUUCCGCCAGCUCCUAGUUUGUUUGCCAGACAGAUUGCAUUUUCCUCAAACACUGGCUUUAAUUUCAGAAUUUUAAGAGUUCUAGGCAGAAAAC
rnacentral:misc_RNA from 1 species